rnacentral:rRNA from 1 species
GGUUGUUAAGUCUCUUGGGAAAUCUGGCGGCUUAACCGUCAGGCGUCUAAGGGAUACUGGCAAUCUUGGAACCGGGAGAGGUGAGGGGUACUUCGGGGGUAGGAGUGAAAUCCUGUAAUCCUCGAGGGACCACCUGUGGCGAAGGCGCCUCACCAGAACGGCUUCGACAGUGAGGGACGAAAGCUGGGGGAGCAAACCGGAUUAGAUACCCGGGUAGUCCCAGCCGUAAACUAUGCGCGUUAGGUGUAUCGGUGACCACGAGUUACCGAGGUGCCGAAGGGAAACCGUGAAACGUGCCGCCUGGGAAGUACGGUCGCAAGGCUGAAACUUAAAGGAAUUGGCGGGGGAGCACCACAACAGGUGGAGCCUGCGGUUUAAUUGGACUCAACGCCGGGAAGCUCACCGGGUAGGACAGCAGAAUGAUUGCCGGGCUGAGGACCCUGCAUGACUAGCUGAGAGGAGGUGCAUGGCCGUCGUCAGUUCGUACUGUGAAGCAUCCUGUUAAGUCAGGCAACGAGCAAGACCCACGCCAACAGUUGCCAGCAUGGUCUCCGGACUGAUGGGGACACUGUUGGGACCGCCUCUGCUAAAGAGGAGGAAGGAAUGGGCAACGGUAGGUCAGCAUGCCCCGAAUUAUCCGGGCUACACGCGGGCUACAAUGGGCAGGACAAUGGGCAUCGACACCGUGAGGUGGAGGCAAUCUCCUAAACCUGUCCUUAGUUCGGAUUGUGGGCUGAAACUCGCCCACAUGAAGCUGGAAUCUGUAGUAAUCGCGUUUCAAAAUAACGCGGUGAAUUUGUCCCUGCUCCUUGCACACACCGCCCGU